CCUACGGGUGGCAGCAGUGAGGGAUAUUGGUCAAUGGGGGAAACCCUGAACCAGCAACGCCGCGUGAGGGAAGACGGUUUUCGGAUUGUAAACCUCUGUCCUCAGUGAAGAUAAUGACGGUAGCAGAGGAGGAAGCUCCGGCUAAAUAGGGUCCAGCAGCCGCGGGAAUACGUAGGGAGCAAGCGUUGUCCGGAUUUACUGGGUGUAAAGGGUGCGUAGGCGGGUUUGCAAGUCAGAAGUGAAAUACAUGGGCUUAACCCAUGAACUGCUUUUGAAACUGGAGAGCUUGAGUGGAGUAGAGGUAGGCGGAAUUCCGGGUGUAGCGGUGAAAUGCGUAGAGAUUGGGAGGAACACCAGUGGCGAAGGCGGCCUGCUGGGCUCUAACUGACGCUGAGGCACGAAAGCGUGGGUAGCAAACAGGAUUAGAUACCCUAGUAGUC
rnacentral:rRNA from 1 species